AGACCCUCGUGCUCCCCUAUCAGAUAUAGAGACAGCCAAACAGAUGCAGAUGCAGAGGUAACAGAGGCCUGACCCUGUGUGGCUAAGGAUGAGUGCUGGUCUAUAACUUCCACUGUGCACCUCUUCAUUUGCUGGAAAUGAAUUUGGCUCGAAUCCACGACAAGCACAAGCUAAGAAACUUCUGGGAGCGGAAGAUUGAGAGUCAUGGUCAGAUGACGGGGAAUGAGGAACUGAGAAUGGAGAGAAGUGCUCUAUCAAAGUUACGGGAAGAGUGGGUCCAGAUGCUCAAGAUCCGGAACCAGCACUUGGAGAUUCUCCACGAGGAGCGGGUCAAACAGGCCCAAAGGAUACACAGCGGUCUGGGGAUUUAGACCGCCUUGACUGCCUGCCAAUCCAGCACAAAGCCACCUCCAGCCUUCACACUCACAAAGCAUUUUAACACUCUAAUUAUGUUCUACAUAAUUAGAGUGUCUUAACAGGAAGAAUCCUUGACAGUUUUCAAGGAUGAGUCCUUGACAAGAAUGUUUUUUUCUAGGUUGAAAAGCUGUCUCUUCAGCUGAAAGUUGUAAGAAAGACAUAAAACAUCUAGACCACAUCAGUCUCAACAAAAAACUGUUCACCGUAAAGUUCCAGGUUGAAGUUUUGAUUGCUCCUGUGUAGAAUUCUCUUUUGAUUUCUAAAUGGCACCCUUUCGUUGUGAAAAAGAUGAACGUUUAAAAAAAUGAAUGCACACAUCUAUCAAUUAAGACUUAUAUUGAGGUGAAAAAUGCAUGUAUCUGUCUAUCUGUACCCCAAGGGAAUAGAAAGGAUGGUUUUCAACUUACUCAUGCUAUGGUUUGCCAACAUGACAGUUGGGUCAUACCUGUCAGAAGUUCUCCUUGUUAGUAGUCAAGGUGAUACUGUUGACUCUAAUAGGUGUUAUUGAUGGCAUGAAUGUCCCUGAUGUUUGAUGUGAGAGAUUAGUAUCACGAAGGAGCAGCCUUGUAGUACAUGCCACAAAAAAAUAACCCUUGCUCAGCAAUCUUUCCAAUACAUCACCUACUGACCCUGGGUAUUCAUUUCUUAGAGUAGGUCAGUGGAAACGGUUAUUGCUGCAUAUUCACUCAUUCAGCACC
rnacentral:lncRNA from 1 species